GCAUUCACCCUUAAACCGUCAUCUCCACUUGUUCCUGUCCAGCAAAACGUUACAUACUGUGAACUUGCUUUAAAGGGGCUAUUUGUAAGUUUUCACUGCCGCCAAAUGUGUUUCUCGCUGGAAGAGAGUGUCGGUGAUUGUCGCUUGACAAGGGAUUCAAACAUUGUUGUUGUUAUAGUACAAGAUGUUAUGAUACGCCCUUCGAGUAGCGCUACGUCUUCAGGGCAGCUCGGAGGCUACUUCUAGUCGUUAUCAGAAAGUGACGGACUGGCUGGUGCUAGCUCGUUAGCAUGCUAACUUCAGUAGAAGAAAAGGCAACAGUUACCGUUAGCGUUGCAAACCACCGCUGGAGACAGCUCUUGGGCUGGGGACUUUUAUAAUUCCCAGAGAGGAUGGCUGACUUCCUGAAAUAAAGACUACCAGCUCCACUCUGACAUGACAGCAUGGGGGACUACAGCCCUCGAUUCAUCACUGGGUCUGGAAAUAACAGGACACCUCCAGUUUGUCAUACUAGAUUAGUCUGUGGCCCGUAACCACUGUCCUUAAUAGAGUCUCCAGCGUUUCAUCUGAGGUGUCCACUAGACCACCACUGUAGACCUCAGGGGGAACACAGAGGGUGUAUCGACAUCCCUUGUACUGGCUUAUGUGUGAGUGUAUUUUACUUCCGCUGUAGAAUCGAUAAAGAACCAAAGCCAUUUACAGCUUCUGCCAUUAAAAGAAAAAUAUUUCCUGCUCUAAAAAUUCCAAAACCUGCAAUCAACAAGAGACAAUUUUAGUCUUUAAUGUGAGGAUUUGCAUGGAUCAUCGACUGUCAAGAAUGACCUGUGUGCAGCCCUCAGAGAUACUCAGUCACAAUUCUCCAGGGACAAUAAGUCUAUAUCCCGCACAUAAAAUCAAUCGAUUGUAAUCCAUAGUAUUUCUUAAUUGGUGAUUAGCUGUUACUUUGUGGAUCACAGGUCCUGGCAGUGGAAUUAGCCUUGGUCUUUAAUAACUGCUUGACCAGCCAGUGGGGAAGUGUAAUGGACAGUGCAGGGUUAGGCCAGGACUGUGAUGCAGUAGCUCCUCACCGCUUCCCCUCCUGACCUUGACUGGCAGUAUGGCUCUUUGAAAAUCUAAGUGCCCAUCUUACAGCAUGCCUGAAGCAAUUUAGGAGUCCAUACACAUUCAUAUAAGUCGUACCUAUUGAUUCUUUUGCUGCUGUUCACACACAGUCUGGCAAUGUAGAGUUUCAAUUAUCACUAUGUGACCUGCCAUUGUCUGGGGAAAAUGUGAUACAUAGCUGAGGAAUCUUAAAGUUUGCAGAAAAAAAGAACAAAAAAUCUGCACCUGUACGUAUUGAAUAAAGAGACCCUGUGGACAUAAUUUAAGAAGAGCUUGUAACUUUUUAGAAACAAACUUGAUUUCCAGACUUGUAUGCAGUGGAAACCUCAACUCUCCAAGUGCAAAGAGGAAAUUCAAAAUAAACCUUAACUAGACAAAUAGACCAGUUUACGCAUCAACUAAAGCUCAAUGAUUUCUCCAUGUAACUAUUGUCAGUUUUGCCUGCAGACAUACCGUCUAUAGACAACAGAGUCAGGGCCCCUGAUGGAUACACCACUGCUGGGGGGUUGCUUAUUUAGACUGGGAUGAUGUGCGCUGUCUCUGGCUCCAGAGGCUGCCCCUCUUCCUGUUUACCUGGGAGUCCUUUGGGGUGAGGUUGAGCUGAAAAGCCCAGUCGGAGCCAGUCAAAGGGAGCGUGGCGCAGUCUUGACCCUGGCGCUCCACUCAUUGUGUAGUGCAGCGGUGUAAUGAGGCCCUGUGUGGAUAUUGAUAUGACAGAACAAAAGGCCAAGGUGCAGUAAGGACAGCAAUCCACACGUUUCACACCAUUUGUUUUUCACACCGUAUCCAUCACAUUAAUGGGUCACCUUUCUGUGACAGCUCAUGAUUACCUGCUUACCCAUGGAGAGAAAAGGGGGUGAGAGAGAGAGAGAAAAAGAGAGAGAGAAAGAGAGAGAGAGAGCCUGGUAAGUGCAAGGAGAGAGAGAGCGAUAGGCAGGAAGAUAGUGAGGGUGCUCCAGUACUGAGGGUAAAGGGUGAGUUGGGGUUGGAAGGGGGCUCAGGGAUUGGGGGGGAUGGGAACCUACUGCCAUUUUUUUAUACUUUCAUGAAGAUUGGCUCCGGCCCUGUCAUCAUCCCCACAGAGUGAAUUUAUGACGGGUCAGCUCUCCAUGUAGUCACCUGAUGGAUGGAGAACAUCCAAGUUUAUUUGGGGCAAAGUGGAAAUGGCUGAACAAUUCCCCAAAGCACCGAUAGAUUCUUUUUUCUACUUUAUUUUUUUUUUUUCUAAGUGAAAUGCAUCAGAGUUACUGAAAAAGAUCAUUGUCACUUGUAAAAAUAAACAAAAAA